rnacentral:rRNA from 1 species
ACAGCAGUCGCCGCGGGAAUACAGAGGAUGCAAGCGUUAUCCGGAAUGAUUGGGCGUAAAGCGUGCGCAGGCGGUUUGUUAAGACAGAUGUGAAAUCCCCAGGCUUAACCUGGGAACUGCAUUUGUGACUGGCAAGCUAGAGUAUGGCAGAGGGGGGUGGAAUUCCGCGUGUAGCAGUGAAAUGCGUAGAUAUGCGGAGGAACACCGAUGGCGAAGGCAGCCCCCUGGGCCAAUACUGACGCUCAUGCACGAAAGCGUGGGGAGCAAACAGGAUUAGAUACCCGUGUAGUCCCUGUCUCUUAUAC